GGUGGCAAUUAUACCGAGGUUGUCCCACCCGAUCCCAUUCCGAACUCGGAAGUGAAAUACCUCAAGGCCGAUGAUAGUCCUUUUGGGCGAAAGUAGGUAGUUGCCACCA
rnacentral:rRNA from 1 species